rnacentral:rRNA from 1 species
GACGAACGCUGGCGGCGUGCUUAACACAUGCAAGUCGAGCGGAAAGGCCCUUCGGGGUACUCGAGCGGCGAACGGGUGAGUAACACGUGAGUAACCUGCCCUGGACUUUGGGAUAACCCUCGGAAACGGGGGCUAAUACCGGAUAUGACCAUUGGUUGCAUGACUGGUGGUGGAAAGGUUUUUCUGGUCUGGGAUGGGCUCGCGGCCUAUCAGCUUGUUGGUGGGGUGAUGGCCUACCAAGGCGACGACGGGUAGCCGGCCUGAGAGGGCGACCGGCCACACUGGGACUGAGACACGGCCCAGACUCCUACGGGAGGCAGCAGUGGGGAAUAUUGCACAAUGGGCGGAAGCCUGAUGCAGCGACGCCGCGUGA